ensembl:misc_RNA 7SK 7SK RNA
GGAUAUAAGGGCAAUCUGGAUAUAACAUCUGUCAUCCCAUUAAUCAUUAGAGUUAAUUAGGUGAGUGUUAUUUUCUGCCAUUAUUGCUUGUAUGUGCCAGUCCUGAAGCUGCAGAUUCUGUGGAAGAGGAUGACCUUCUCAGAUAGAGGAAGACUUUUCUUAGGUUAAGGGUAUACCAGUGGUUGCUAUUACCUACUAGAACCUCCAAACAAGCCCCCAAGUUCCAUUUGCAGUAGAAUGUGGGCUAUUCAAGCUUAUCCCAAGGCCCUAGACAUGUUGAAAUUAGACAUUGCAAGGGGACUUU